rnacentral:rRNA from 1 species
CUACGGGGGGCAGCAGUAGGGAAUCUUCCACAAUGGGCGAAAGCCUGAUGGAGCAACGCCGCGUGAGUGAAGAAGGUUUUCGGAUCGUAAAACUCUGCUGUAAGGGAAGAACAAGUACAGUAGUAACUGGCUGUACCUUGACGGUACCUUAUUAGAAAGCCACGGCUAACUACGUGCCAGCAGCCGCGGUAAUACGUAGGUGGCAAGCGUUGUCCGGAAUUAUUGGGCGUAAAGCGCGCGCAGGCGGUCCUUUAAGUCUGAUGUGAAAGCCCACGGCUCAACCGUGGAGGGUCAUUGGAAACUGGGGGACUUGAGUGCAGAAGAGGAAAGUGGAAUUCCAAGUGUAGCGGUGAAAUGCGUAGAGAUUUGGAGGAACACCAGUGGCGAAGGCGACUUUCUGGUCUGUAACUGACGCUGAGGCGCGAAAGCGUGGGGAGCAAACAGGAUUAGAUACCCCCGUAGUC